ACGCAGCCCGACCUGAGUGGAGCUCUUUUUCUUUUUUUGAUAAAAAAGAAAAAAGCGGGAACGGAGGGCGGAUUAAGC
rnacentral:misc_RNA from 1 species